GUCCAGACUCCUACGGGAGGCAGCAGUGGGGGAUAUUGCACAAUGGGGGGAACCCUGAUGCAGCGACGCCGCGUGGGUGAAGGAGCGUUUCGGCGCGUAAAGCCCUAUCGGCAGGGAAGAAGGAGGACGGUACCUGACUAAGAAGCCCCGGCUAACUACGUGCCAGCAGCCGCGGUAAUACGUAGGGGGCAAGCGUUAUCCGGAUUCACUGGGUGUAAAGGGAGCGUAGACGGCGGCGCAAGUCUGGAGUGAAAGCCCGGGGCCCAACCCCGGGACUGCUCUGGAAACUGCGGCGCUGGAGUACGGGAGGGGCAGGCGGAAUUCCUGGUGUAGCGGUGAAAUGCGUAGAUAUCAGGAGGAACACCGGCGGCGAAGGCGGCUUACUGGACUGUAACUGACGUUGAGGCUCGAAAGCGUGGGGAGCAAACAGGAUUAGAUACCCCAGUA
rnacentral:rRNA from 1 species